rnacentral:rRNA from 3 species
AAAUUGAAGAGUUUGAUCAUGGCUCAGAUUGAACGCUGGCGGCAGGCCUAACACAUGCAAGUCGAACGGUAACAGGAAGCAGCUUGCUGCUUCGCUGACGAGUGGCGGACGGGUGAGUAAUGUCUGGGAAACUGCCUGAUGGAGGGGGAUAACUACUGGAAACGGUGGCUAAUACCGCAUAACGUCGCAAGACCAAAGAGGGGGACCUUCGGGCCUCUUGCCAUCAGAUGUGCCCAGAUGGGAUUAGCUUGUUGGUGAGGUAACGGCUCACCAAGGCGACGAUCCCUAGCUGGUCUGAGAGGAUGACCAGCCACACUGGAACUGAGACACGGUCCAGACUCCUACGGGAGGCAGCAGUGGGGAAUAUUGCACAAUGGGCGCAAGCCUGAUGCAGCCAUGCCG